rnacentral:rRNA from 1 species
UACGUAGGGGGCAAGCGUUGUCCGGAUUUAUUGGGCGUAAAGAGCGUGUAGGCGGUCUGGUAGGUCCGUUGUGAAAACUCGAGGCUCAACCUCGAGACGCCGAUGGAAACCAUCAGACUAGAGUCCGGAAGAGGAGAGUGGAAUUCCUGGUGUAGCGGUGAAAUGCGCAGAUAUCAGGAGGAACACCGGUGGCGAAGGCGGUUCUCUGGGCCUUACCUGACGCUGAGGAGCGAAAGCGUGGGGAGCGAACAGG